rnacentral:tRNA from 1 species
GGGGUAAACCUCUUGGUGGUAAUUAGUUUGUGGUUCUGAAUGUCGUGGGUUCGAGUCCCACCUGCCACCCA